rnacentral:rRNA from 1 species
AGAGUUUGAUCCUGGCUCAGGACGAACGCUGGCGGCGUGCCUAAUACAUGCAAGUCGAGCGAACCAAUGGGAGCUUGCUCCCUAAGGUUAGCGGCGGACGGGUGAGUAACACGUGGGUAACCUGCCUGUAAGAUUGGGAUAACUCCGGGAAACCGGAGCUAAUACCGGAUAACAUUUUGAACCGCAUGGUUCAAAAUUGAAAGGCGGCUUUUAGCUGUCACUUACAGAUGGACCCGCGGCGCAUUAGCUAGUUGGUGAGGUAACGGCUCACCAAGGCGACGAUGCGUAGCCGACCUGAGAGGGUGAUCGGCCACACUGGGACUGAGACACGGCCCAGACUCCUACGGGAGGCAGCAGUAGGGAAUCUUCCGCAAUGGACGAAAGUCUGACGGAGCAACGCCGCGUGAACGAUGAAGGCCUUCGGGUCGUAAAGUUCUGUUGUUAGGGAAGAACAAGUACCAGAGUAACUGCUGGUACCUUGACGGUACCUAACCAGAAAGCCACGGCUAACUACGUGCCAGCAGCCGCGGUAAUACGUAGGUGGCAAGCGUUGUCCGGAAUUAUUGGGCGUAAAGCGCGCGCAGGCGGUUUCUUAAGUCUGAUGUGAAAGCCCACGGCUCAACCGUGGAGGGUCAUUGGAAACUGGGGAACUUGAGUGCAGAAGAGGAGAGUGGAAUUCCACGUGUAGCGGUGAAAUGCGUAGAGAUGUGGAGGAACACCAGUGGCGAAGG